ncrna:unclassified sequences Glutamine riboswitch
AUCGUUCAUUCACUCUAAAUGUAGCAGUGAACGGAAGUAGUCAAUUGUGACGAAGGAACGCAUC